GAAUUUCGCCGAUGUGUCGAUUUCAUUCCGAUUUGCAUCUCGCUGGAAUGAUUGAGGACAAUGAUUCGAUGAGCUAUAAGGCGACGGAAAUGCAUUUAUGCACAAUCUACUGCGACUUCCUAAAUGCUGAUCACUUUGCACUGAUUGAUCGAUACUGUAUCAGUCACUGUCACUUGUCACGGAAUACGUAAUCCACCACCGCGAAGGAGAUAAGAAGAGAACAGGUGCGGCGAGAUAGUCGGACGUAAAGACAGAGAGAAGAGAAAAUGGGAAGGUUUUAAAUGGGAAAGCUGAUCAGUGAAUGAAUGGCUUCGUACUCACCAAGCGCAUGAUGCUGUCUGUGCCCACGCUCGUUCGGCUCUUGGCUUUUACUUGGGAAGAUGAUCACCACGUAGACACAAAAAUAGCGAAAUGUGAGAAGAACAGUAUGUACUUCAAGGAUUAAAAAGAAUAAUCAGGAAAUAAAGAUAUAAAAAAAUAAAAUUAUUUGUGCGAACAUCUGUUUCUCUCGAUGAUUCACCUGGCAGAUCACGGCUUGUACAUUCUAGAGGUAAAUUUAUUCAGGUAAAAUCAGGUAAUUGUUAUGACGAAUGAUUUAUAUACUACUGUAAAGAAUUUAAUACAAUAAUUC